UACAGAGGUCUCGAGCGUUAGGCGGAAUCACUGGGCUUAAAGCGUGUGUAGGCGGAUCGGUAAGUACCUUGUGAAAUCCCCACAGCUUAACUGUGGAACUGCUUUGGUAUACUGCCAGUCUUGAGCCACUUAGGGGCUACCGGAACAAAUGGUGGAGCGGUGAAAUGCGUAGAUAUCAUUUGGAACGCCAAUGGUGAAAACAGCUCGCUGGGGGUUUGCUGGACGCUGAGACACGAAAAGCCAG
rnacentral:rRNA from 1 species